AAAAAGAGAUUUUUUUUCAAAAAAAAAAUCCAUAGCAGGCAUAUGUGUGCGUAUUGGGGAGAAGAUGGAAAGUUAGAAGAUCUGAAUUGAAACAUAUGGGUGAAUUUACAAUUUUUAAAAGUUGUAUUGCCAUAAUUGAAAAAUAACAACCUUUUAAUGAUAUUAUAAAUGAUAUUUUGAUGCACCAGUAUAUUUAAGACAUGUAGGAUGGGCUGGCUAGCCCAAUUUUAAGUAAUGGGUAGUCAAGUUGUCACCU
rnacentral:lncRNA from 1 species